GGCUCAGGAUGAACGCUAGCUACAGGCUUAACACAUGCAAGUCGAGGGGCAGCAUUUUAGUUUGCUUGCAAACUGAAGAUGGCGACCGGCGCACGGGUGAGUAACACGUAUCCAACCUGCCGAUAACUCCGGAAUAGCCUUUCGAAAGAAAGAUUAAUACCGGAUAGUAUACGAAUAUCGCAUGAUAUUUUUAUUAAAGAAUUUCGGUUAUCGAUGGGGAUGCGUUCCAUUAGUUUGUUGGCGGGGUAACGGCCCACCAAGACUACGAUGGAUAGGGGUUCUGAGAGGAAGGUCCCCCACAUUGGAACUGAGACACGGUCCAAACUCCUACGGGAGGCAGCAGUGAGGAAUAUUGGUCAAUGGGCGAGAGCCUGAACCAGCCAAGUAGCGUGAAGGAUGACUGCCCUAUGGGUUGUAAACUUCUUUUAUAAAGGAAUAAAGUCGGGUAUGCAUACCCGUUUGCAUGUACUUUAUGAAUAAGGAUCGGCUAACUCCGUGCCAGCAGCCGCGGUAAUACGGAGGAUCCGAGCGUUAUCCGGAUUUAUUGGGUUUAAAGGGAGCGUAGAUGGAUGUUUAAGUCAGUUGUGAAAGUUUGCGGCUCAACCGUAAAAUUGCAGUUGAUACUGGAUAUCUUGAGUGCAGUUGAGGCAGGCGGAAUUCGUGGUGUAGCGGUGAAAUGCUUAGAUAUCACGAAGAACUCCGAUUGCGAAGGCAGCCUGCUAAGCUGCAACUGACAUUGAGGCUCGAAAGUGUGGGUAUCAAACAGGAUUAGAUACCCUGGUAGUCCACACGGUAAACGAUGAAUACUCGCUGUUUGCGAUAUACGGCAAGCGGCCAAGCGAAAGCGUUAAGUAUUCCACCUGGGGAGUACGCCGGCAACGGUGAAACUCAAAGGAAUUGACGGGGGCCC
rnacentral:rRNA from 1 species